rnacentral:rRNA from 1 species
AACGAACGCUGGCGGCAUGCCUAACACAUGCAAGUCGAACGAGAUCUUCGGGUCUAGUGGCGCACGGGUGCGUAACGCGUGGGAAUCUGCCCUUUGGUUCGGAAUAACAGUUGGAAACGACUGCUAAUACCGGAUGAUGACGAAAGUCCAAAGAUUUAUCGCCAGAGGAUGAGCCCGCGUAGGAUUAGCUAGUUGGUGUGGUAAAGGCGCACCAAGGCGACGAUCCUUAGCUGGUCUGAGAGGAUGAUCAGCCACACUGGGACUGAGACACGGCCCAGACUCCUACGAGAGGCAGCAGUGCGGAAUAUUGGACAGUGGGCGAAAGCCUGAUCCAGCAAUGCCGCGUGAGUGAUGAAGGCCUUAGGGUUGUAAAGCUCUUUUACCCGGAAUGAUAAUGACAGUACCGGGAGAAUAAGCUCCGGCUAACUCCGUGCCAGCCGCCGCCGUAA